rnacentral:rRNA from 1 species
GAUGAACGCUGGCGGCGUGCCUAAUACAUGCAAGUCGAGCGAGCAGACGAGGAUCUUGCUCCUCUGACGUUAGCGGCGGACGGGUGAGUAACACGUGGAUAACCUACCUAUAAGACUGGUAUAACUUCGGGAAACCGGAGCUAAUACCGAAUAAUAUAUUGAACCGCAUGGGUCAAUAGUGAAAGACGGUUUUGCUGUCACGUAUAGAGGGAUCCCGGCCGCAUUGGGGAGUUGGUAAGGUAACGGGUUAUCAAGGCUACGAUGCGUAGACGACGUGAGAGGGUGAUCGCCCACACUGGAACUGAGACACGGUCCAGACUACUACGGGAGGCCGCAGUCGGGAAUCUUCCGCAAUGGGCGAAAGCCUGACGGAGCAACGGCGCGUGAGUGAUGACAGUCUUCGGAUCGUAAAACUCUGUUAUUAGGGAAGAACAACUGUGUAAGUAAAUAUGCAGGUCUUGACGGUAACUAAUCAGAAAGCCCCGGCUAACUACGUG